rnacentral:rRNA from 1 species
UACGUAGGUGGCAAGCGUUGUCCGGAUUUACUGGGCGUAAAGAGCGCGCAGGCGGUCGUUCAAGUCGAGUGUGAAAGCCCCCGGCUCCAACUGGGGAGGGUCACUCGGAUACUGAUCGACUCGAAGGCAGAAGAGGGAAGCGGAAUUCCCGGGUGUAGUGGUGAAAUGCGUAGAGAUCGGGAGGAACACCAGUGGCGCAAGCGGCCCCCAAGCCUGAACCCUGACGCUGAAGCGCGACAGCGUGGGGAGCAAACGGGAUUCAGGAAACCCU